GCGCGGAUGGCGGAAUUGGUAGACGCGCCAGCCUUAGGAGCUGGUCUGCUUAUGCAGGUGGAGGUUCGAGUCCUCUUCCGCGCA
rnacentral:tRNA from 2 species